rnacentral:rRNA from 1 species
AUACGUAGGUGGCAAGCGUUAUCCGGAUUUACUGGGUGUAAAGGGCGUGUAGGCUGGACAGCAAGUCAGAUGUGAAAAUUAUGGGCUCAACCCAUAACCUGCAUUUGAAACUGUUGUUCUUGAGUGAUGGGGAGGCAGGCGGAAUUCCGUGUGUAGCGGUGAAAUGCGUAGAUAUACGGAGGAACACCAGUGGCGAAGGCGGCCUGCUGGACAUUAACUGACGCUGAGGCGCGAAAGCGUGGGGAGC